rfam:Niastella populi strain 208 contig31, whole genome shotgun sequence.
CGGGCGGAAGCCGAAAAGCCCUGAAAGAGUAGGCC